AGAUUAUAUAAAAAAGUUAAAUUUAAUAACCUGUGUAUGGCUCGGGCAAAAUAGUUUAUACAUUCUCUUUCGAAUCCAAAAACAACAUUUAAGCUAUUCCCAAAAGUUGCUACAUGCCUUAAAAUUUGUAUGAAACACUUCCUAGAGAAUAGAGAUAAUAAGCGAUCCAUCUCAUAUGGUUGUUGUCCCGAAAGUUACUACAUACCUUAAAAUUUGUAAGAAACACUUCCUAGAGAAAAGAGAUAAUAAGCAAUCAUCUCAUAUGGCUGUGAUGUAGAGAAAAAGAGGAAAGAAG
rnacentral:lncRNA from 1 species